GGGUAACCGGGGACCUCUAGAGAUAGAGUUUGAUCCUGGCUCAGGAUGAACGCUGGCGGUGCGCUUAACACAUGCAAGUCGAGUGAAUUAGAUUCACGGCAGACGGGUGGAACACGUUGGAACCUUCCUUCAACUCAGGGAUAACUCCGAGAAAUCGGAGAUAAUACCGGAUAGUCCCGAAAGGGUAAAGAUUUAUCGGUUGAAGAGGGGCCUGCGGCCUAUCAGCUAGUUGGUGAGGUAAUGGCUUGCCAAGGCAAUGACGGGUAACUGGUCUGAGAGGACGACCAGUCACAAUGGAACUGAGACAAGGUCCAUACUCCUACGGGAGGCAGCAGUGAGGAAUCUUCCGCAAUGGGCGAAAGCCUGACGGAGCGACACCGCGUGAAGGAUGAAGGCCUUCGGGUUGUAAACUUCUUUUUUGAGGGAAUAAAUGAUGAAGGUACCUCAAGAAUAAGCACCGACUAACUAUGUGCCAGCAGUCGCGGUAAUACAUAGGGUGCAAGCGUUAUCCGGAAUUAUUGGGCGUAAAGCGUUAGUAGGCGGUUUUCUAAGUUUGCGGUUAAAUCUGAGCGCUCAACGUUCAACUUGCCGCAAAAACUGGAAGACUAGAGAAUGGCAGAGGUAUCUGGAAUUCUACAUGUAGGGGUAAAAUCCGUAGAUAUGUAGAGGAACACCAAAAGCGAAGGCAGGAUACUGGGCCAUUUCUGACGCUGAGUAACGAAAGCGUGGGUAGCAAACAGGAUUAGAUACCCUGGUAGUCCACGCUGUAAACUAUGGAUGCUCGGUGUAGGAGGGAUUCGACCCCCUUCUGUGCCUUAGUUAACACGUUAAGCAUCCCGCCUGGGGAGUACGGUCGCAAGACUAAAACUCAAAGGAAUAGACGGGGACCCACACAAGCGGUGGAACAUGUGGUUUAAUUCGAUGGUAAACGAGGAACCUUACCCAGACUUGACAUCUCCAGAAUUCUCUAGAAAUAGAGAAGUGCCGUAAGGAACUGGAUGACAGGUGCUGCAUGGUCGUCGUCAGCUCGUGCCUUGAGGUGUUCGGUUAAGUCCGUAAACGAGCGCAACCCAUAUCCUAUGUUGAAUUUUCAUAGGAGACUGCCGGCUUUAAGUCGGAGGAAGGUGUGGAUGACGUCAGAUCAGCAUGGCCCUUAUGUCUGGGGCCACACACAUGUUACAAUGGCGGAUACAAUGGGCAGCGAACCCGUAAGGGGGAGCCAAUCCCAUCAAAGUCCGUCUCAGUUCGAAUAGAGGGCUGCAACUCGACCUCUUGAAGUUGGAAUCGCUAGUAACCGCAUAUCAGCCAUGGUGCGGUGAAUAUGUUCCUGGGUCUUGUACUCACCGCCCGUCAAUUCAUGAAAGAUAGGGGUGCCCGAAGUCACUUCAGCUCUACGGAGCCAGUGCCUAAGGUAACACUAUUGAUUGGGAAUAAGUCGUAACAAGGUAACCAAUCUUCGAC
rnacentral:rRNA from 1 species